rnacentral:sRNA from 1 species
AAGGGGGUGGAUUUAUAUAAAAUUCAGGGUGGCCUUUGCUAGUUAAUAUAUUCAUUCUUUACACCCCACCACU